GAUGAACGCUGGCGGCGUGCCUAAUACAUGCAAGUCGAGCGAACGGACGAGAAGCUUGCUUCUCUGAUGUUAGCGGCGGACGGGUGAGUAACACGUGGAUAACCUACCUAUAAGACUGGGAUAACUUCGGGAAACCGGAGCUAAUACCGGAUAAUAUUUUGAACCGCAUGGUUCAAAAGUGAAAGACGGUCUUGCUGUCACUUAUAGAUGGAUCCGCGCUGCAUUAGCUAGUUGGUAAGGUAACGGCUUACCAAGGCAACGAUGCAUAGCCGACCUGAGAGGGUGAUCGGCCACACUGGAACUGAGACACGGUCCAGACUCCUACGGGAGGCAGCAGUAGGGAAUCCUCCGCAAUGGGCGAAAGCCUGACGGAGCAACGCCGCGUGAGUGAUGAAGGUCUGCGGAUCGUAAAACUCUGUUAUUAGGGAAGAACAUAUGUGUAAGUAACUGAGCACAUCUUGACGGUACCUAAUCAGAAAGCCACGGCUAACUACGUG
rnacentral:rRNA from 1 species